AGAAAAAGAAGCUUGUGCAUCCUUUGAACCUCCCAAGAACAAGGAGCAGGCAGAUGAAGGUCUUUCCCAGACAGAAUCAUUAGAAAUAGUAGCAAAAGAGAUUAGUGCAUCCUCUGACCCUCCUGAAAAGAAGGAGCAGGCAGAUGAAGGUUUUCUACUGACAGUAUCGGGAGAAAUGAAGGGAAAAGAGACCAGUGAUUCCACAUUGGGUUCUGAAGAAGUUGUGAAACACGAACCUCAAAUCAUUGAAGAAAAGGAUAGUGAAGGAAAAUUACCUGAACUAAUCAAACAUGUUCAAAAUACUUAUGUGGAGGCUGAAACCGUGAAAGAUGAGAAGGAAUUGGCUCUUGAAGAUGACAUUAACCCACCCACUAAAGGAGGAGAAGUCCAAGAAGAAGAGGCACAAUGCGUAGUAGAAAGUGAUGAACAGGUUUCAGUGGGUCAGGUGGCUAAAUCAGGCCUUGUGGAUGACUCUGGUAAGGGAUUAGAAAAGAAGCAAGCGGAGACAACUUGUGUUCCAGAACUGUCUAUUGAACCUCCCAAGAAAGAAGAGUCAGUUGAGGUUAUUCCAUCAAAACAUGUAGAAGUGAUCGAGAAAAAAAGAGUUGAAGCAGCUGAACUGCCAACAGAAAAGGAGGAGCCCAAUGGAGUUAGUCUAAAAGGAUCAGAAGUGGAAAAAGAAAUUAUGGAGACGAAAGAACUUUCUAAGGAAAAGGAACAAGCAGUUGAAGUACAGUCAGUGCAAGAAUCAAAGGAAGUCAUAGCAGAAAAUAUAAGUGAAUCAGUAGAACUUCCCAAGGAGAGUGAAUUGCUCAUUGAAGUUCAACCAGUGAAAGAAUUAGAAGUCAUGGUAAAAGACACUAGCGAAUCCAUUAAAUCUCCCAGGAACAAGGAGCAGCCAAAUGAAGCUCCACGUGAGAAAGAAUCAGAGGUUAUAGCAAAAGAUAUUAGUGAAUCCUUCGUACCUUCCAAAGACAAGGAACGGGCAGAUGAAGGUUUUCCUGUGUCUGGAACUGAGGAAAUGGGAGCAAAAGAGGUCAGUGGUUCCACACUGGGUCCAGAAGAAAUUGAAAAACAAGAACCUAAAGUUCACGAAGUGAGGGAUGGUAAGCAAGAAUUGUCUGAGCUAACCGAUCAUGUUCAGAAUGAUUAUGUGGAGGUAGAAACUGAGCCAAUUGUGAAAGAUCAGAAGUCAUUGGUUAUUGGGGAUGACAAUACGCCACCUUUGGGAGUAGGACAAAUCCACAAAGAUGAGGAGCAAUGCACGGUAAAAAGUGACAAACAAGAUUCGGUUUAUCAGAGGGAUCAACCUAGUGUAGAAUUACCUGAACCCGACUUUCCUCCUCAUGAUGUGAAAGAAGAUGAAAAGAAGGAAUCGAGCAACAUUGAUGUGGUUGACCAAUUGUCAGAAGUGGAAGCACCCGCUAUGGAGAAAGUGGGAGAGGAAAAUGAAGAAAAGGGAGUGAGGACUGAGAAGCCAGAUGAAGAUACACAUGAGAACAUACAAAAAAUAACUCUUCCAAGAGAAGAGGUGGCUCCAAGAGACUAUGAAACUGAUGCUGUGGUAGCAGGAAAGUCAAUUGAUGACCAAAAAGCUGGUGAAGUAGUUGAUCUGAUAGCAGAAACCAAGGUAGAGGAGAGUACUACAGAUGAGAAACUAGCACCGGUUGAGCCUGCCAUUGCUCAGGUAGAUGAAACACCUAAAGAACCCCAGGAAUUUGAGUUGGAAGGAAAAGAUGAAGAAACUGUGAAGGCAAGAGGAGAAGUUCCCAAAGUGAAUGACAAGAAAGAAGUUCCAUCGAAGCCUAGUCAUAAGCAUUCACACAAUAUUUUAUCGAAAGUAAAACAGUCACUGGUAAAGGCAAAGAAAGCUAUCAUUGGCAAGUCACCGAGCUCAAAAACCCUUUCCUCUGAAGCAAGGGAUGACAUUAAAGUUAAGUGAUGGAAUGCAAUUAAUAAACACUGAAUAUUUCACAGUUCACACAAAUGUCAU
rnacentral:misc_RNA from 1 species